rnacentral:rRNA from 1 species
AAUGGAGAGUUUGAUCCUGGCUCAGGACGAACGCUGGCGGUGUGCUUAAUACAUGCAAGUCGAACGAUAAGGUCCUUCGGGAUACAUAAGUGGCGGACGGGUGAGUAACACGUAGGGAAUCUGCCUCAAGGAGGGGGAUAACACCGGGAAACUGGUGCUAAUACCCCAUAUGUGAUAAGUUGCAAUACUUAUCAUGAAAACUCCGGUGCCUUGAGAUGAGCCUGCGUCUGAUUAGCUUGUUGGUGGGGUAAUGGCCUACCAAGGCGACGAUCAGUAGCUGGUCUGAGAGGAUGAUCAGCCACAAUGGAACUGAGACACGGUCCAUACUCCUACGGGAGGCAGCAGUAGGGAAUUUUGCGCAAUGGGCGAAAGCCUGACGCAGCAACACCGCGUGUGGGAUGACGCUUUUCGGAGUGUAAACCACUGUCAGAGGGGACGAAACCUGACGGUACCCUCAAAGGAAGCAUCGGCUAACUACGUGCCAGCAGCCGCGGUAAGACGUAGGAUGCAAGCGUUGUCCGGAAUUAUUGGGCGUAAAGCGUUCGUAGGUGGCCUGUCAAGUCUGAUGUUAAAUCCCAGAGCUCAACUCUGGUUCAGCAUUGGAUACUGACAAGCUAGAGUGCAGGAGAGGCAAGGGGAAUUCCUAGUGUAGCGGUGAAAUGCGUAGAUAUUAGGAGGAACACCAGUUGCGAAAGCGCCUUGCUGGACUGUAACUGACGCUGAGGGACGAAAGCCAGGGGAGCAAAUGGGAUUAGAUACCCCAGUAGUCCUGGCUGUAAACGAUGGAUACUAGGUGUUACGGGUAUCGACCCCUGUAGUGCCGAAGCUAACGCGAUAAGUAUCCCGCCUGGGGAGUACGCACGCAAGUGUGAAACUCAAAGGAAUUGACGGGGACCCGCACAAGCGGUGGAACAUGUGGUUUAAUUCGAAGCAACGCGAAGAACCUUACCAGGACUUGACAUCUGAAGAACCUUGCGGAAACGUGAGGGUGCCCUUCGGGGAACUUCAAGACAGGUGGUGCACGGUUGUCGUCAGCUCGUGUCGUGAGAUGUUGGGUUAAGUCCCGCAACGAGCGCAACCCUCGUUGCUAGUUGCCAAUAACGGCAUGCUGUUAUUGUGCUCUCUAGCGAGACUGCCGGUGAUAAACCGGAGGAAGGUGGGGAUGACGUCAAAUCAU